UACGUAGGGUGCAAGCGUUAAUCGGAAUUACUGGGCGUAAAGCGUGCGCAGGCGGUGAUGUAAGACAGAUGGGAAAUCCCCGGGCUCAACCUGGGAACUGCAUUUGUGACUGCAUCGCUGGAGUGCGGCAGAGGGGGAUGGAAUUCCGCGUGUAGCAGUGAAAUGCGUAGAUAUGCGGAGGAACACCGAUGGCGAAGGCAAUCCCCUGGGCCUGGACUGACGCUCAUGCACGAAAGCGUGGGGAGCAAACAGG
rnacentral:rRNA from 1 species